rnacentral:rRNA from 1 species
GCGUUUAGGAGUGAGCGUGUCGCUCUCGGGACCGGCGGCAAGUCCCCCUGACCGGGGCCUGUCCGUAGCGGGUGCGAGGCCCAUAGCCGCCGGGCCCGCGGCGAAUGCGAUCUCCUGGGAGUCGGGUUGCUUGGGAGUGCAGCCCCAAUCGGGUGGUAAACUCCACCUAAGGCUAAAUACCGCCGUGAGACCGAUAGCAAACAAGUACCGUGAGGGAAAGUUGCAAAGAACUUUGAAGAGAGAGUUCAAGAGUACGUGAAACUGCUCAGAGGUAAACGGGUGGGCCCUCGAAAUCCUGUGGCGGGAGGAUUCAGUCUGUGCCGGCGGACGCUGCGGCGGAAAGAACCGAGCAGGGCAUCCGCCUCUAGGCGGGCCGUCCGCCGCGGCGACCUCUCGCGGGCGCAGACGCAUUUGACUCCCGUCCCGAGGACGCUGCAGCCGGUUUGGAAGCGCAAGCGCGACGGCCUGGAGGCCGGGAGACGGCAGGUGGCCGGUGGCCCGCACUCAGCGGGUCGUCGGUUGUUAGCCAUCCCGGCAGUGGCCCGUCUCCAGACCGUGGUGUCGGAGCCCCCCCGGGGGCUCCUCGUCUCCUCCCCAAAGAGCGCGGGACAGGGCGCGGCUCGGGCCCUCGGCGUUCGACCCCCGCACAUCCACGGUGUGGGGGGAAGAGCCGCGGGCCCCAACCACCGCGACGGACCCGCGGGGGAACGGAGGCUGGCAGCGAGUAGGUCGGUCACCCMCCCGUCCCGUCUUGAAACACGGACCAAGGAGUCUAACAUGUGCGCGAGUCAGUGGGUCUUGAACAGGCCCACGGGCGCAAUGAAAGCGAAGGGCCGCCGAGCGCGGCCUCAGUGGGGAUCCCCGCCUUCACCGGCGGGGCGCACCCGCGACCCGUCCUAUCCGGCUCGCCGGUUGGGCGGAGUCUGAGCGUACACGUUGGGACCCGAAAGAUGGUGAACUAUGCCCGGACAGGACGAGGCCAGAGGAAACUCUGGUGGAGGUCCGCAGCGGUUCUGACGUGCAAAUCGAUCGUCAGAUCCGGGUCUAGG